rnacentral:rRNA from 1 species
UACGUAGGGGGCAAGCGUUGUCCGGAAUCAUUGGGCGUAAAGAGCGUGUAGGCGGCCUGGUAAGUCCGCUGUGAAAGUCCAGGGCUCAACCCUGGAAUGCCGGUGGAAACUGUCAGGCUCGAGUCCGGAAGAGGCGAGUGGAAUUCCUGGUGUAGCGGUGAAAUGCGCAGAUAUCAGGAAGAACACCAAUGGCGAAGGCAGCUCUCUGGGACGGUACUGACGCUGAGACGCGAAAGCGUGGGGAGCGAACAGG